rnacentral:rRNA from 1 species
GACGAACGCUGGCGGCGUGCUUAGCACAUGCAAGUCGAACGGAAAGGCCCUGCUUUUGUGGGGUGCUCGAGUGGCGAACGGGUGAGUAACACGUGAGUAACCUGCCCUUGACUUUGGGAUAACUUCAGGAAACUGGGGCUAAUACCGGAUAGGAGCUCCUGCUGCAUGGUGGGGGUUGGAAAGUUUCGGCGGUUGGGGAUGGACUCGCGGCUUAUCAGCUUGUUGGUGGGGUAGUGGCUUACCAAGGCUUUGACGGGUAGCCGGCCUGAGAGGGUGACCGGGAAGCGGGGGACAGGGAUGAGGAACGGCCGGAGGCGGGAGGCAGCAGCGGGGAGGGGGGGAUAACGGGCGUGAGGCUGUGCAGGGAGUGCGGCGGGGGGGAAGGGGGGGUGGGGGUGGUGAAAAAAGGGCGACGGUGAAGAAGAGUGAGGGACGGGAAGGGGAAAAGAAGAGACGGCUAGCUAAGUG